GGAGGUGAGGGGGAUCUAGCUGUGACAUCUGUCACCCCAUUGAUCUCCAGGGUUGACUCAGCCCAUCUGGCUGGCUAUGUGGUGUCCCCUCCCUCCCUCACCACUCCAUGUGAGUCUCCCUACAGAAGCUACACAUUUGGUGGAAGAGGAAGGCCUUGCCCAAAUAGAGACAGAUAGUCUUAGGUCAAGGGAAUAUGAGUAGCUGCACUCCCCUGCUAGAACCUCUAAACAAGUUCUCAAGAAAAGAAGAAAGGAAGAAAGAAAGAAAGAAAAGAAGGA
rnacentral:snRNA from 1 species